rnacentral:rRNA from 1 species
UACGAACCGUACGAACGUUAUUCGGAAUUACUGGGCUUAAAGGGUUUGUAGGCGGCCAUGUAAGUGGGGUGUGAAAUCCCUCGGCUCAACCGAGGAACAGCGCUCCAAACUGUAUGGCUUGAGGGAGACAGGGGUAAGCGGAACUGAUGGUGGAGCGGUGAAAUGCAUUGAUAUCAUCAGGAACACCGGUGGCGAAAGCGGCUUACUGGGUCUCUUCUGACGCUGAGAAACGAAAGCUAGGGUAGCGAACGGG